rnacentral:rRNA from 1 species
UACGUAGGGUGCGAGCGUUAAUCGGAAUUACUGGGCGUAAAGCGUGCGCAGGCGGCUUUGUAAGACAGGUGUGAAAUCCCCGGGCUUAACCUGGGAACUGCGCUUGUGACUGCAAGGCUCGAGUGCGGCAGAGGGGGGUGGAAUUCCACGUGUAGCAGUGAAAUGCGUAGAGAUGUGGAGGAACACCGAUGGCGAAGGCAGCCCCCUGGGUCGACACUGACGCUCAUGCACGAAAGCGUGGGUAGCAAACAGG